AACAGACGGUGCAAGUGUUAUUCAGCUUUAUUGGGCGUAAAGGGUAUGUAGGCAAGUUUUUUUAAACUAGGUUUGAAAUGCUAGAAUAUUAAGUUUAGACAUGAAUCUAACGAUUAAAAAACAACGAGUUAAAAAGAGGUUAAUCAGAAGAAUUUCUCAAACAUCGGGGGUAGAAUCCUCAUAUGAGAAGGACUACCGAAAGCGAAGGCAUCUUUCCAUUUUUAACUGACGCUGAGGUACGGGAGCCUAGGUAAUCAACCGG
rnacentral:rRNA from 1 species